rnacentral:lncRNA from 1 species
GAGUUACCUUUCAUGGAAGGGUAAGCAGGAAGCAACUACAAGAUCAUCAUUUCAAAACAAUAUGAAAGCAGAAUGGGAAAUGCCAUGGCAUGCUCCCUCUUUUCAGGUCUCCCAGGGUUUGGAUUUUCCUUGACAGAGCAUAGGGGAAGUGCUGAGUCCUCAGGCCCAUACCCAGAUGAAGAAGCACAGGCAUGAUCAAAGCUACAACUAUUAUAUCCAUCCGGGAUUUUCUUUUGUGAAUGAAAAGAAGAAAAGGCAUCAAUAAUGUGACCUUGGACUUACAGGCAAUAUGGACACUUUGGGGAAGUUAUGAAGCGUCUCCCAUUCCCGCUUGAGGUACUCAAUAGAGCCCACAAACACAAUGUGCUUGAGCUCAUGGUAAUGAAAGUUGCUGGCACGGAGCGGCAUCACCAGGUUCCGGAGGCCGAUCAGGGCUGAGCUGACGUCGCCAAAGAUGCAGACCACGACAUGGCCACUCAGGACGGUCAUGGCAGCUUCACUU